UCUUUUUUUUUUUUCUGAAAACCAAAAAUAAACAGACGAAUAAAAAAGAAAGGGGCGUUCCGAGAAUUGAACUCGGGACCUCUCGCACCCUAAGCGAGAAUCAUACCACUAGACCAAACGCCCUUUUUGUUCAGAAACUCAAGAACUCCUUGAUAACAAUUGUUGACUCUCUUCUUCUUUAGACCAUUGAUUGUUGUUCCCUUUCUAACUAGAACCAGAUUUCGUCAGACUCUGUUAAUGAGAUUAAUCCAGUUUUGGAUUCCCAACUGUAAUCGUGUUGUAGAUCGUCCGGGUUCGGUAGGAUAUAUAGAAGAUACUGACGAUGGAUUUGACGUAGUUGGAGCUGCACUUGGAUUCUGCGUUGGCACUCGUCGUUCCAAACCUCCCACUCCUCUGCUGUAGCUGUUGAUGGAGAUAUUAGCAACAACUUGGUUUCAAAGGAUCUUCACGAGAUCGAGAAACUCGCUGAUUGCCCCAUAUUCAAGGACAGUUAUGGCUUAUUCUUGGCGAGUUGAAAGUUAAAUACUUUGAUGGCGAAUAUAUGAGUUUAAGAGUUGCAAGUUGCUAUUAUUACCCUUGCUGCUUGUCCUUCACCCUGAUUUGAAUUUUGUAGUUCAUAAGAAUCCAAUAUAUGAAAAUGUAAGCUCAAAAAACUGAUUCAGUUAGUUGAGGGUCUCUAGUUUUGUGUGGUAUCCAAAUCCAUCUGCAACUUUCUAUGGGGACAAUAGAGGUUUUGCUAGCAGAAUUUUUUUUCUUUUAUGGAAUUUCAUCUUAGUGAACUUUCAAAGACUGAUGAAAGGUGUUGUCACUUCCACAGGACCAGUCCAAGCUGUUGAUGAAGUUACAGGUGGACUCUAAAGCUUCUGUAGCAGCUUCAAGUUUCUAUGUGACAUCUCUUCAACCCGUUCUCUCAGGUGGACCAAGCAGACAUGAACUCCAUUCUUGAUGAUGAUGAAAACUGUGAGAAGUUUGAAAAGUGUUAUGUUCACUCAACUUGAAAAAUCCCAUUUUUUAGCAUUUCCCCCCAACUUUUCAUAGACCUUUAGAAUUUGUCUCUCCGGGAUCAGAUUGAUUAACCAAUUGUGAUAUCAAUGCUUUGUUGUAUUAGAGGUAGCCAAAGUUGGAGCAUUUUGGCGCAUUGAGAAAAUUGGCCUGAUCUAUCUAAUACCAUUCCAGGAGCUAGUGUUUUGCUUUAUUUGAAAACUAAACCAAUUGUAACAUCUUGUUUUACUGGAAGAUAAACAGUGUUAAUUCUGUAUUUUCUUACAAAACUUGCUUUAAGUUA